ensembl:lncRNA
GGUAGCUGCUCGCGCGGAUAUCGUCUCCCAGCACAUCCACUUUCUACCUAAGCGCGUGUGUGUUUUUUAAAUGUAUUCAUUCGAGGCUGUUUUUGUGCGCAGAUAAGUCGCAUAACGAGACGAGACGGGACGAGACCGCAGAAGACAUAAAGCCCCGCGAAAUUGGGAGUUGGACACCCAGGAGGAAGAGGACGAGCCAACUUGAACCCGACGACCUCUCGGCAAGUGAGGACGCAAGUAGAAGUUGAGCCACAAGAUCCCAGAUACUGUGAUGCAGGACACUCCGCUGUAGCGAGCGCAGAUCCAUUUGGUCUCUCCUCUUCUCCAACCUUUGCUCUGCUCUGCUGCCGAGAGGGCUCCCUCCACAUGGAGAAGCUCCUUUUUUUGGAGAUAUCCUGCGAGCUGAUAACUUCACCGCAAAGUAUCUUCAUUCAAAGGAAACAAGAGAGGAGAUGUGGACGGACCGUGUGCUGCUGCAGAGGGACCCGGCGCGAUGAUCAACGGCGAAUUUCGGUGCUUUACCCAGGAUAGCUGAUCACCCCACCAUAUGUCUGCCAGUUGUCUCCAAAAUCUCAGUGGCGCAGUAUUUAGGAACUCAACUCCUGGGCCCUCCUCAUUGUCAAGGCCGAGGAAACCCGAGAGGAGGAGAGCUGACAAACUAAUGAGACAAGCUGACGUAAGGCGUAAGCGCAGGAAGUAUUCUGACAGCAUUCUUUGAUGUGCCACAAUUAAGACAUGAAGACAAAAUACACUGCUGCAGUUUAAUCAGUCCAUAUGUUCAGGUUCUCGGGGUCACGUCACGUUUUGACAAAAUUGAUGAAAG